AGCAGUCCCGCGGGAAAACGGAGGGUGCAAGCGUUACUCGGAAUCACUGGGCGUAAAGGACGCGUAGGCGGAUUAUCAAGUCUCUUGUGAAAUCUAACGGCUUAACCGUUAAACUGCUUGGGAAACUGAUAAUCUAGAGUAAGGGAGAGGCAGAUGGAAUUCUAGGUGUAGGGGUAAAAUCCGUAGAGAUCAAGAAGAAUACCCACUGCGAAAGCGAUCUGCUGGAACUUAACUGACGCUAAUGCGUGAAAGCGUGGGGAGCAAACAGGAUUAGAUACCCCCGUAGUCCCUGUCUCUUAUACA
rnacentral:rRNA from 1 species